rnacentral:rRNA from 1 species
UGUAAAAUUCUAAAGGUCGAACAGACCUAAUAUUUUAGCUUUUACACCAAAAAUUAAUUUUAAUCCAACAUCGAGGUCGCAAUCUCUUUUUUCGAUAUGAACUCUAUAAAAAAAUUACGCUGUUAUCCCUAAGGUAAUUUAAUCUUAUAAUCACUAAAUAUGGAUCAAAUAAUCAUAAAUUAAUGUUCUAAUAAAAAAAAAGUUUCUUAAAUUUUUUAAUCAUCCCAAUUAAAUAAAAUACACAAUUAAACUUAAUAAAUACUAAAAAUCCUUAAUUAUAUAUUUUAUUAAACUCUAUAGGGUCUUCUCGUCUUUUAAUGAUAUUUAAGCUUUUUAACUUAAAAAUAAAAUUCUAAUAAAAUUAACAAGAGACAGCUAUUUUCUCAUUCAACCCUUCAUUCCAGCUUUCAAUUAAAAAACUAAUUAUUAUGCUACCUUAGCACGAUCAAAAUAUCGCGGCCAUUAAAAAUUUCAGUGGGCAGGUUAGACCUAACAUUAUAAUCAAUAGGAC